AGACCGUUAGUUUAAAAAAAACAUUUGAUUUCGACUCAAAAACUUCUGGUUUAAGUCCAUAACUGUCUA
rnacentral:tRNA from 1 species